AUCAAGCUCCGCGCAGAAAUACAAAACGGAAGUGACCAAGAUGUGUGGCUUGUGUGUAAACUAGUGCAGCAUGUGGAGUUUUUUAUCAACAAAGGAGUUCUAGGUUUAUGCAAAGAAGCCUCGCACAAAGUAUGGCAAUAUCGCGGGGACACGGUGCGCGCGCAUGCGACGGAGAAGUUUGACGAUCUCCAGCAGUACCUUCAACUUCCGGUGGUUCCGCCUUCCAUGGUGGAUGUUUGUAGUUUAGUUCAAAUUUAUUAUACACUAAAGGUCUGCCUGGUGAUGGAGGAGUCGGGGGAGGUGCUGGACCUCCACUUCCCGGUCACUGUGGCUACGACGCCUUACAGGAUCCCUAACGCACCUUAUCCUAUACUACAGUACGAUCACUGUGUCCCUAACGUGGAGGGCGGAAUGUACGUGAGCUCCGAGUUCCAGCUGGGUCAGGUGUACAUGGGGGACGGGGAGGAGGAGACGGACGAGGUCAUCCUUUUCCGGCCCCUGUACGUCUGCGUGCCCCACGAGCGCCUCCAGGUCAACAGCCUGGAAAAGGAAGGCGGAGUCAGUCGUGCGGCGUCCCGGAUGUCGAUGACACGAUUGAGUGACCGACUCAAGUUCAAGGAGCCCCGGGUCACGGUCAUAUCCUCGGAGAAAGACUCUGCUAAAACGGACAGCGAGGAGGCUUCCCCCUCCCACGUGACCUCUCACGCGGACGGACUUUCACCACUGUUUGCCCAAGUUGACCUUGAGUCACAGUUUAAUCAAAAACCAUCAGACGACCUGACCAAGGGCCAGCUGGAGGACGUCUGUGAACAAGACACGGACCCUCACUGUUCCGUCAAAAACACUGACAUUACAAACUCCGAGGUCAAGGUCUGUCUCGAUGUGACCGAUAGUCACCUUGAACUUCCCAAACAGACUUGAAUGAUGUCUGUGACAAAGUAUUACACAACAUGGCUUGCUCACAUCUUUUUUUUGUGGACAACCUUGACCUUUAUUAUUUUUUCUUUAAAAUUUAUAAAGUGUCAAAUCAAAAAGUACGUAUAUAGCAGAAAUAUUUGUAUAUAAUUUUUAAUUUCUUGCACAUUUUUCUACGAACUAACGGAUUUUUCAUACGAGCACCUGUUGACGUUGUGUAGACAAGGCGUUGUGUUGUAUGGGUGGGGCUCUAAGCCGUGUGGUCAGGAUUCCGCUUGUUUAUUGGCGGUUGGUUGUGGUUUUAACCUACUUGUGACAUCUUUUGAUUAAUAUUUAAAGUACUAUCAUGGUGAUAGAUCUAAUAAAAGGAAUGUCAGUAGUCUCUAACAAUCAAAUCAAUAAAUAAUUUUCAGAAGUUAUUUUACUUCUAUGCAACGU
rnacentral:misc_RNA from 1 species